CCCUUAGAUGUUCUGGGCCGCACGCGCGCUACACUGACGAAUGCAACGAGCUUAUAACCUUGGCCGAAAGGUCUGGGUAAUCUCCAAAUUUCGUCGUGAUGGGGAUAGAUUAUUGCAAUUAUUAAUCUUCAACGAGGAAUGCCUAGUAAGCGCAAGUCAUCAGCUUGCGUUGAUUACGUCCCUGCCCUUUGUACACACCGCCCGUCGCUCCUACCGAUUGAAUGGUCCGGUGAAGCGCUCGGACCGCGGCCUCUUGACGGUUCGCCGUCUGUUGGCUGCGGGAAGUUCGUUAAACCUUAUCAUUUAGAGGAAGGAGAAGUCGUAACA
rnacentral:rRNA from 1 species